rnacentral:rRNA from 1 species
GAUGCGACCUCAGCUCAGGCGGGGCCACCCGCUGAGUUUAAGCAUAUCAAUAAGCGGAGGAAAAGAAACUAACNGGGAUUCCNCUAG